CAAACCAGCAAAUAGUUAAUAAGCAUAGAAUUUAUUUCCCUUUCACCAGACAGAGUGAUCUGUUAGACAUUUCAAAUAUUGCCUUAUCACAAUAAUAAGUUGUUUAUCCUUUUGUUGCAGCAUAAGCAAGCAGAGGUGUUUCAACUGAUUUAGAAGCUGACAUUGAAUGAGUGUUGGGUAACCUGUUAAUGGAGCUAUCUAAUAACACAAGGCACAUAUGCAAAACUAAGCUGAAUGAUAAAGAACAUUCCUGGACAAUUUCAAAUGCGUGGGCCAAAUGUGUGAGACAUCCACGAUGAAGAUUGUAGGAUCCAGAUGACUGAAGACAGCAAUGGACUGAUGGACACCGACUGUGAAUGGCAGAUGGAAUGAACAGUGAAUGGUGGUCAUAGACUCAGGAAAUGAGUCUGCUGAGCCACUAAACCCAAGAAGAAGAAGAAGAAAGAAGGGAAACACUGAGGAGAAGAAAGCCUGAACUCCAGCUGGAAAGGGCUGAGACUGGUGGCUUGGA